GCCGGGUGUGGUGGCUCACGCCUGUAAUCCCAGCACUUUGGGAGGCCAAGGCGGGUGGAUCACCUGAGGUCAGGAGUUCGAGACCAGCCUGACCAACAUGGUGAAAACCCGUCUCUA
rfam:Homo sapiens chromosome 1, GRCh38 reference primary assembly.